rnacentral:rRNA from 1 species
GCUUAACACAUGCAAGUCGAGGGGCAGCAUGGUCUUAGCUUGCUAAGGCCGAUGGCGACCGGCGCACGGGUGAGUAACACGUAUCCAACCUGCCGUCUACUCUUGGACAGCCUUCUGAAAGGAAGAUUAAUACAAGAUGGCAUCAUGAGUCCGCAUGCUCACAUGAUUAAAGGUAUUCCGGUAGACGAUGGGGAUGCGUUCCAUUAGAUAGUAGGCGGGGUAACGGCCCACCUAGUCUUCGAUGGAUAGGGGUUCUGAGAGGAAGGUCCCCCACAUUGGAACUGAGACACGGUCCAAACUCCUACGGGAGGCAGCAGUGAGGAAUAUUGGUCAAUGGGCGAGAGCCUGAACCAGCCAAGUAGCGUGAAGGAUGACUGCCCUAUGGGUUGUAAACUUCUUUUAUAAAGGAAUAAAGUCGGGUAUGGAUACCCGUUUGCAUGUACUUUAUGAAUAAGGAUCGGCUAACUCCGUGCCAGCAGCCGCGGUAAUACGGAGGAUCCGAGCGUUAUCCGGAUUUAUUGGGUUUAAAGGGAGCGUAGAUGGAUGUUUAAGUCAGUUGUGAAAGUUUGCGGCUCAACCGUAAAAUUGCAGUUGAUACUGGAUAUCUUGAGUGCAGUUGAGGCAGGCGGAAUUCGUGGUGUAGCGGUGAAAUGCUUAGAUAUCACGAAGAACUCCGAUUGCGAAGGCAGCCUGCUAAGCUGCAACUGACAUUGAGGCUCGAAAGUGUGGGUAUCAAACAGGAUUAGAUACCCUGGUAGUCCACACGGUAAACGAUGAAUACUCGCUGUUUGCGAUAUACUGCAAGCGGCCAAGCGAAAGCGUUAAGUAUUCCACCUGGGGAGUACGCCGGCAACGGUGAAACUCAAAGGAAUUGACGGGGGCCCGCACAAGCGGAGGAACAUGUGGUUUAAUUCGAUGAUACGCGAGGAACCUUACCCGGGCUUAAAUUGCAGAUGAAUUACGGUGAAAGCCGUAAGCCGCAAGGCAUCUGUGAAGGUGCUGCAUGGUUGUCGUCAGCUCGUGCCGUGAGGUGUCGGCUUAAGUGCCAUAACGAGCGCAACCCUUGUUGUCAGUUACUAACAGGUUCCGCUGAGGACUCUGACAAGACUGCCAUCGUAAGAUGUGAGGAAGGUGGGGAUGACGUCAAAUCAGCACGGCCCUUACGUCCGGGGCUACACACGUGUUACAAUGGGGGGUACAGAGGGCCGCUACCACGCGAGUGGAUGCCAAUCCCCAAAACCUCUCUCAGUUCGGACUGGAGUCUGCAACCCGACUCCACGAAGCUGGAUUCGCUAGUAAUCGCGCAUCAGCCACGGCGCGGUGAAUACGUUCCCGGGCCUUGUACACACCGCCCGUCAAGCCAUGGGAGCCGGGGGUACCUGAAGUGCGUAACCGCGAGGAGCGCCCUAGGGUAAAACUGGUGACUGGGGCUAAGUCGU